GAGUGAUCGUGGCUCAGAUUGAACGCUGGCGGCAGGCCUAACACAUGCAAGUCGAGCGGAUGACGGGAGCUUGCUCCUUGAUUCAGCGGCGGACGGGUGAGUAAUGCCUGGGAAUCUGCCUGGUAGUGGGGGACAACGUUUCGAAAGGAACGCUAAUACCGCAUACGUCCUACGGGAGAAAGCAGGGGACCUUCGGGCCUUGCGCUAUCAGAUGAGCCUAGGUCGGAUUAGCUAGUUGGUGGGGUAAUGGCUCACCAAGGCGACGAUCCGUAACUGGUCUGAGAGGAUGAUCAGUCACACUGGAACUGAGACACGGUCCAGACUCCUACGGGAGGCAGCAGUGGGGAAUAUUGGACAAUGGGCGAAAGCCUGAUCCAGCCAUGCCGCGUGUGUGAAGAAGGUCUUCGGAUUGUAAAGCACUUUAAGUUGGGAGGAAGGGCAGUAAGUUAGUACCUUGCUGUUUUGACGUUACCGACAGAAUAAGCACCGGCUAACUCUGUG
rnacentral:rRNA from 1 species